CCUCGUAUUGACCGGGUAUUUAAUUUUAGUUUUCAUUUUAGCAAAACAAUUUCUGCGUGAUUUAUUAUAAAAUUUGAUGAAAAAAAAUUUCUAGAAUUUUCUGGAUUGAAAUAAUAAAAUAAAAUUAAAAAAUAAAUUCUAAUUAAUUGUAUUUAUUUGUGAUUAAUUAGAUCAGCGCGAGGUCACCAAGGUAGAGGGGGUUUGGAAUGUCAAAAAUAGUAAAGUGAUACCUGGAAAAUAGUGUUAAUUGAUAGAGCAGAGGAGGGAAAUGUAGAUAGAAUAGAAGAGACAGAAGGUACCAGCAGGUUCAACUUACCCAAAGUUCAGUGCCCCAACUCAUUGUCGAGCUCGGGAAGACUGCCAGGUGAUCCAGACGACGGGCAUCUAACUCCUGUUUUUGCUAUUUAUUCUCUCGGUACACUUUUUAAGCUUUUUUGGCUUUUUUUUUUUUGAUUUUAAGAUGACAGAGUCGACUUUGCCACUACAACAUGGCCGAGGAUCGUGUAAA